rnacentral:rRNA from 1 species
GCGAGUUAUGAACACAUGCGAGGUUAAGGAGAAGAUCCGGAGCCGAAGCGAAAGCGAGUCUUAACAGGGCGACAGUAUGUGUUUGUAGACCCGAAACCCGACGAUCUAGCCAUGAUCAGGAUGAAGUAAGGGUAAAACCUUAUGGAGGUCCGAACCGACGUUCGUUGAAACGCCCGCGGAUGAAUUGUGGCUCGUGGUGAAAUUCCAAUCGAGUCGGGUAAUAGCUGGUUCUCCCCGAAAUAGCUUUAGGGCUAGCCUUGGGACAUUGUUUAGUGGGGGUAAAGCACUGAAUAUGAGCGAGCCGCGCCAAGCGGUAUCAAUCAUAAUCAAACUCUGAAUCCCAUUAGAUGUACCCCAGGAGUCAGACUACGGGAGAUAAGUUCCGUGGUCAAGAGGGCAACAGCCCAGACCGCCGAUUAAGGUCCCUAAAUUCACGCUAAGUGUCAAAGGAUGUAGAGAUACUCAAACAGCUAGGAUGUUGGCUCAGAGGCAGCCAUCAUUUAAAGAAUGCGUAACAGCUCACUAGUCAAGUGUCUCCGCGCCGAAAAUUUACCGGGGCUAAGCGUGAUACCGAAAUCGCGGAUGAAUCCUAAAAAUUCGUGGUAGGGGAGCGUUCUGUUUGCAGUGAAGCCAUAUCGUGAGGAGUGGUGGAGCGUACAGAAGCGAGAAUGCCGGCGUAAGUAACGAUAAAGGGUGAGAAUCCCUUUCACCAAUUGACUAAGGUUUCCUGGGCAAGGUUCGUCCUCCCAGGGUUAGUCGGGACCUAAGGCGAGGCCGAGAGGCGUAGUCGAUGGACAGCAGGUUGAUAUUCCUGCACCCGAGCACGCAGUGAUGCAAUGACGAAAACGGCUAUGCUCACCUCCGAUCGGAAGUGGAGGGCAGAGCGUAGGAGUCGAUUCCUUGUUAAGUACGGGAAUCAUUAAGACAAAGACGUGCGGUAUGAAAGUCGCGAGACGAGUAAGAAACAGCAGACGCCGAUUUCCAAGAAAAGUUGCUAACGUUAAACGUGUUCGGCCCGUACCGAGAACGGACACACGUGGUCAAGGAGAAUAUCCUGAGGUGAGCGAGAUAACUGUUGUUAAGGAACUCUGCAAAAUGACUUCGUAACUUAGCAAGAAGAAGUGCUCCAGCGAUGGAGCCGCAGCGAAUCGGCCCAAGUAACUGUUUACCAAAAACACAGCUCUAUGCUAAGUCGCAAGACGAUGUAUAUGGGGUGACGCCUGCCCGGUGCCGGAAGGUUAAAAGGAGAGGUUAGGAGCAAUCCGAAGCUUUGAAUUGAAGCCCCGGUGAACGGCGGCCGUAACUAUAACGGUCCUAAGGUAGCGAAAUUCCUUGUCAGGUAAGUUCUGACGUGCACGAAUGGUGUAAUAAUUUGGGCGCUGUCUCGACAGCAGACUCGGUGAAAUCUUAAUACCGGUGAAGAUGCCGGUUACCCGCGACUAGACGGAAAGACCCCAUGGAGCUUUACUAUAACUUAAUAUUGAGUAAAUGCGAAUCUUGUACAGUAUAGGUGGGAGACUUUGAAGUCGGGGCGUCAGCUUCGAUGGAGUCGCCGUUGGGAUACCACUCUGGAUUUGCAUUUAUUCUAACUCCUACCCUGGAUGGGCGGGAGGACAGUGUUAGGCGGGUAGUUUGGCUGGGGCGGCCGCCUCCCAAAUAGUAACGGAGGCGCCCUAAGGUACCCUCAGUAUGGUCGGAAAUCAUACGUAGAGCGCAAAUGCAUAAGGGUGCUUGACUGCAAGACCGACAAGUCGAGCAGGUACGAAAGUAGGGAUUAGUGACCAGGCGGUUUCAUUGUGGAAUGGCCGUCGCUUAACGGAUAAAAGCUACCCUGGGGAUAACAGGCUGAUCGCGUCCAAGAGUUCACUUCGACGACGCGGUUUGGCACCUCGAUGUCGGCUCAUCACAUCCUGGAGGGGCAGCACCUUCCAAGGGUUAGGCUGUUCGCCUAUUAAAGUGGUACGCGAGCUGGGUUCAAAACGUCGUGAGACAGUUUGGUCCCUAUCUGUCGUGGGCGUAGGAAGUUUGAAAGGAUCUGACCCUAGUACGCAAGGACCAGGUUGGACGUAACUACGGUACACCG